rnacentral:lncRNA from 1 species
CCUCCUUCUUCUACUCCUCUAACAGACAACACUGCCUCUCCUCUUCCUCCUUCUCCUUCUCCCCCUCCUCCUCCUUGUCUACCAGACAUCGCUGGCCCCUCCUCCUCUUCUUUCUUCUCCUUCUCUACCAGACCUUGAGGGUCCACAUAGUCCUCCUCCUCUACCAGGUGUUGCUGGCUUUCCUCCCCCCUCUUCCUCCCCAACCAGACAUCACUGCCUCUCUUCCUCCUCCUCCUUCUCAUCUACCAGACAUCACUGGCCCUCCUCCUCCUCCCUCCUCCUCCUCUACCAGAUAUUGCUGGUCCUCCUCCUCCUCAUCUACCAUACAUUGCUGGACCUCCUCCUCCUAUACCAUAUAUCUCUGUCCCUCCUCCUCAUCCUCCUCCUUGUCCUCAACCACCAGACAUCACUGACCCUCCUCCUCCUCCUGCACCAGAUAUUGCUGGCCCUCUUCCUCCUCCUUCUACUCCUCUACCAGACAUUGCUUACCUUCUUCUUCCUCCUCGAACGGACAUCACUGGCACUCCUCCUCCUCCUCCACCUCCUCCUCCUCCACAUCUAUCAGACAUUGCUGGCCCUCCUCUUCCUCCUCCACCAUACAUUGCUGGCCAUCCUCCUCCUCCUCCUCCUCCUCCUCCUCUACCAGACAUCGCUGGCCCUCCUCCUCCUCCUCUUUGUCCUCCUCCCACUCCUCCCCUAAAAGACAUCGCUAGUCCACCAACUCCUCUUCCUCCUCCUCUACCAUACAUUGCUGGCCCUCCUCCUCCUCUACAAGAAAUCUCUGGCCCCCUUCCUCCACCUCCUCCUCCUCCAGACACCGCUGGCCCUCCUCCUUCUCUUCUGCCACACAUCACUGAUGCUCCUCCUCCUCCUCCUCCUCCUGUUUCAGACAUUGCUGGCCAUCUUCCUCCUCCUCCUCCUACUCAUCUACCGGACAUCCAUGCCUCUCCUCCUCCUCCUUCUCUUCCUUUUCCUCCUCCUUCUCUACCAGAUAUCACUGGCCCUCCUUCUACUCCUCCUACUCCUACUCUACCAGAUAUUGAGGGCCCUCAUCCUCCUCCUCCUGUACCAGACAUUGCUGGCCCUCCUGCUCCUAAGCCUCCUCCUCCUCAAGACAUUGCUGGCCUUCCUGCUCCUCCUCCUCCUCCUCAUCAUCAUCAUCCUCCUUGUCCUCUACCAGACACCGCUGGCCUUCCUCCUCCUCCUCCUCAUUCUCCUCCUUCUCUACCAGACAUCACAAGAGCUUCUCCUCAUCCUCCUUCUCCUCUAGCAGACAUUGCUGGCCUUCCUCCUCCACCUGAACCAGACAUCACUGGCCUUCCUCCUCCUCCUCCUCAUCCUUCUCUUCCAGACAUCACUGGCCCUCCUCCUCCUCCCCGUCCUCCUCCUCCUCUACCAGACAUUGAGAGCCCUCAUCCUCUUCCUCCUCUACCAGAUAUUGCUGGCCUUCCUGCUCCUCCUCCUCCUCUUCAUCAUCAUCAUCCUGCUCCUCCUUCUCUACCAGACAUCGCUGGCCUUCCUCUUCCUCCUCCUUCUCAUCCUCCUCCUCUACCAGACAUCACUGGCCCUGCUCCUCAUCCUCCUCCUUCUCUACCAGACAUUGCUGGCUUUCCUCCUCCUCCUUCUCUAUGACACAUUGCUGGCCUUCCUCUUCCUCCUCUUCUACCAGACAUCACUGGCCUUCCUACCCCUCCUCCUCCUCUUCCUCCUCCUCCUCUACCAGACAUUGCUGGCCCUCCUCCUCCUCUUUCUCCUCUUCCCCCUCCUCCCGUACCAGACUUCGCUGUCCCUCCACCUCCUCCUCCUCCUCUACCAGACAUUGCUGGCCUUCCUUCUCCUCCUCCUCUACCAUACAUCUCUCAACCUCCUCCUCCCCCUCCACCAGACAUCGCUGGCCCUCCUUCCUUGUCUGGUAGAGGAGGAGGAGGAAGAUGGCCAGCAAUGUCUGGUACAGGAAGAGGAGGAGGAGGAGGAGGGGUUAGCGAUGUCUGGUAGAAGAGGAGAGGGAGGGCCAGCGAUGUCAGGUGGAGGAGCAGGAGAGAGGAGGAGGAGAGCCAGAGAUGUCUGGAAGAGGAAGAGGAGGGACACCUCCUGCUCCUCCUCUAAAAGACAUCGCUGGCCCUCCCCCUCCUCUUCCUCCUGUAUGAGACAUUGUUGGCCCUCUUCCUCUUCCUCCUACUCCUCUACCGGACAUCUCUGGCCCUCCUCCUCCUCCUCCUCUUCCUCCUCCUCUUCCUCCUGCACAAGACAUCACUGGCCCUCCUCCUCCUCUUCUCCCAGACAUCACUGACCCUCCUCCUCCUCCUCUUCCCCCCUCCUGUACCAGACAUUGUUGGACUUCUUCCUCCUCCACCUCGUCCUCUUCCAGACAUCUAUGACUCUCCUCCUCCUCCUCCUUCUCCUUCUCUUCCUGCCCCUUCUGUAGCAGUCAUCACUGGCCCUCCUCUUUCUCCUACUCCUCUUCCUCCUCCUCCUCUUCCUCCUCCUCCUCCUCUACCAGACAAUGAUGGCCUCGUCAUCCUCCUCCUCUACCAUACAUUGCUGGCCCUCCUCCUCCUCUUCUAGACAUCACUGCCUCUCCUCCUCCUCCUGCUCCUCCUUCUUCUCUACAAGACAUCACUGGCCCUCCUGCUCCUCCUCCUCUACCAGACAUUUAGGGCAUUCGUCCUCCUCUUCCUCUACCAGACAUUGCUGGCCCUCCUCCUCCUCUACGAGACAUGGCUGGCCUUCCUCCUACUCCUCUUCUAACAGAUGUUGCUGGCCUUCCUCCUCCUCUUCCUCCUCUUCCAGACAUCACUGCCUCUCCUCCUCCUCCUGCUCCUCCUUCUGCUCUACAAGACAUCACUGGCCUUCCUGCUCCUCCUCCUCUACCAGACAUUUAGGGCACUCGUCCUCCUCUUCCUCUACCAGACAUUGUUCGCCCGCGGACUCCUCCUCCUCCUCCUCCUCUACCAGACAUUGUUCACCUUCCUGCUCCUCCUCCUUCUCCUCCUCCUCUUUCUCCUCCUCCUCCUCCUCCUCUACCAGACAUUGAUGGCCAUCCACCUCCUCAUCCU